rnacentral:rRNA from 1 species
UUGACGGAGAGUUUGAUCCUGGCUCAGGACGAACGCUGGCGGCGUGCCUAAUACAUGCAAGUCGAACGAGAUCCUGGAGCUUGCUCCGGGGGACAGUGGCGAACGGGUGAGUAACACGUGAGAAACCUGCCCUAGAGACCGGGACAACCGUUGGAAACGGCGGCUAAUACCGGAUGCCUUCACAUGGUCGCAUGGCCGAGUGAAGAAAUGCUCAGGUGCUCUAGGAGGGUCUCGCGGCCUAUCAGCUAGUUGGUGAGGUAACGGCUCACCAAG